GACGAACGCUGGCGGCGUGCCUAAUACAUGCAAGUAGGACGCAGUUGCGAACGGGUGAGUAACGCGUAGGUAACUACCUAUUAGAGGGGGAUAACUAUUGGAAACGAUAGCUAAUACCGCAUACUAGUAGAUGGACCUGCGUUGUAUCAGCUAGUAGGUAGGGUAAUGGACUACCUAGGCAACGAUACAUAGCCGAACUGGUAGGGUGAGCGGCCCGACUAGGACUGAGAGACGGCCCAGACUCCUACGGGAGGCAGCAGUAGGGAAUCUUCGGCAAUGGGGGGAACCCUGACCGAGCAACGCCGCGUGAGUGAAGAAGGUUUUCGGAUCGGAAAGAUCUGUUGUUAAGGAAGCGGUAGUUGACCAGAAAGGGACGGCUAACUACGUGCCAGCAGCCGCGGUAAUUC
rnacentral:rRNA from 1 species